CAGGUAGGAUUACCCGCUGACU
rnacentral:rRNA from 1 species